CUAAUUUAUCUACCUAUCUAUAGAUAUCUAAAAUGAAAGACUUAAUUAAGACUGGAAUUGCCUUAGGUUUCUCUAUAGUUAGUACAGCAAAGUAGGCUUCUCCAGAGACAACUUCACUCUCUGGUGAGAGUGAGAGAGUCUCCAGAGAGAUUCCAUAGUCAAUUUAGAUUAUUAAAUCAGGUUUUAAAGUUACAAAACUGCAGAAGUUAGGUUGGAAGAUUGAUAUAAAUUUUGAUCUAGGUGAGAUUAAUUCCACACAUAAAAAAUGAAUAAAUAAAUCACUAUUUCUUGCUAUUUGUGGUAUUGGUAGAUCUGUAUAGAAAUGCCUGACUUACAUGGGUUUCUUCAAGCUCAUUGGUGUUAUCUGGGUAUCAAUGAAUUUCUUUCCCCAUCUUAGUUUUGGUCUUAGUGUACAGACUGCCAGUUGUGUAUAAAUGUUUUUUUCUCUUCUGACCCAAGCACUUGCCUCUCAAGAUAAAUCCAAUCAAACAAUGGAGCAUGUUUUCCAACAAAUGUUUCCAGUAGGAAUGCUGAAAUAUAGAAUCUCAUACAGAUGAGAGGGGUUUUGAUCCCCCUGACCCGAGGUGUCCUUCCUACCAGGCUUGGGACUUUCCUGCACUCUUCCAUGUCCUCGAACACCUGUCAAGGUGUAAUUGCUGUUGUGAAAUGUAGAAGACCUGCCCCUUGCACCUCUCACCCAACAUGUUUUCUACUGCUGUCAAACUGUGAAAAGAGUACAGAGUUGUGA
rnacentral:lncRNA from 1 species